rnacentral:rRNA from 1 species
GAACCUUACCAGCCCUUGACAUCCCUGUCGCGAGUACCAGAGAUGGAACUCUUCAGUUCGGCUGGACCGGAGACAGGUGCUGCAUGGCUGUCGUCAGCUCGUGUCGUGAGAUGUUGGGUUAAGUCCCGCAACGAGCGCAACCCUCGCCCUUAGUUGCCAUCAUUUAGUUGGGCACUCUAAGGGGACUGCCGGUGAUAAGCCGCGAGGAAGGUGGGGAUGACGUCAAGUCCUCAUGGCCCUUACGGGCUGGGCUACACACGUGCUACAAUGGCGGUGACAGUGGGAUGCAAUGGGGAAACCCUGCGCAAAUCUCAAAAAGCCGUCUCAGUUCGGAUUGUGCUCUGCAACUCGAGCACAUGAAGUUGGAAUCGCUAGUAAUCGCAGAUCAGCACGCUGCGGUGAAUACGUUCCCGGGCCUUGUCACACCGA